rnacentral:rRNA from 1 species
CAGGACUUGACAUCCUAGGAACCCUGCAGAGAUGCGGGGGUGCCCUUCGGGGAACCUAGAGACAGGUGGUGCAUGGUUGUCGUCAGCUCGUGUCGUGAGAUGUUGGGUUAAGUCCCGCAACGAGCGCAACCCCUAUUGUUAGUUGCCAUCAGGUAAUGCUGGGCACUCUAGCGAGACUGCCGAGGUUAACUCGGAGGAAGGUGGGGAUGACGUCAAAUCAUCAUGCCCUUUAUGUCCUGGGCUACACACGUGCUACAAUGGCUGGUACAGAGGGAAGCAAGACCGUGAGGUGGAGCAAAUCCUCAAAACCAGUCUCAGUUCGGAUUGUAGGCUGCAACUCGCCUACAUGAAGCCGGAGUUACUAGUAAUCGCAGAUCAGAAUGCUGCGGUGAAUACGUUCCC